rnacentral:rRNA from 1 species
GAUGAACGCUGGCGGCGUACCUAACACAUGCAAGUCGAACGGAGUCCAGCCUUUAAGACCUUCGGGUCAAAGAGGGGAAGACUGAGUGGCGGACGGGUGAGUAACACGUGGGCAACCUGGCUCAUAGAGGGGGAUAACAGAGAGAAAUUUCUGCUAAUACCGCAUAAGCACACACUGCCGCAUGGCAGAGGGUGAAAAGAGAAUCGCUAUGAGAUGGACCCGCGUCUGAUUAGCCAGUUGGCAGGGUAAGAGCCUACCAAAGCGACGAUCAGUAGCCGAUCUGAGAGGAUGAACGGCCACAUUGGGACUGAGACACGGCCCAAACUCCUACGGGAAGCAGCAGUGGGGGAUAUUGCACAAUGGGGGGAACCCUGAUGCAGCGACGCCGCGUGAGUGAAGAAGUAUUUCGGUAUGUAAAGCUCUAUCAGCAGGGAAGAUAAUGACAGUACCUGAAUAAGAAGCCCCGGCUAACUACGUG